AUUGAACGCUGGCGGAAUGCUUUACACAUGCAAGUCGAACGGCAGCACGGACUUCGGUCUGGUGGCGAGUGGCGAACGGGUGAGUAAUAUAUCGGAACGUGCCCAGUCGUGGGGGAUAACGUAGUGAAAAUUACGCUAAUACCGCAUACGAUCUACGGAUGAAAGCGGGGGAUCGCAAGACCCCGCGCGAUUGGAGCGGCCGAUAUCAGAUUAGGUAGUUGGUGGGGUAAAGGCUCACCAAGCCGACGAUCUGUAGCUGGUCUGAGAGGACGACCAGCCACACUGGGACUGAGACACGGCCCAGACUCCUACGGGAGGCAGCAGUGGGGAAUUUUGGACAAUGGACGCAAGUCUGAUCCAGCCAUUCCGCGUGCAGGACGAAGGCCUUCGGGUUGUAAACUGCUUUUGUACAGAACGAAAAGGUCUCUACUAAUACUAGGGGCUCAUGACGGUACUGUAAGAAUAAGCACCGGCUAACUACGUGCCAGCAGCCGCAGUAAAAC
rnacentral:rRNA from 1 species